AGAGUAGACGCAGGCGGUUGCAGAUCAGUCAUAGUCACUGAUUUGAGGAAAGUCCGGGCUCCCGAAAGACCAAACUUGCUGGAUAACGUCCAGUGCGAGCGAUCGUGAGGAUAGUGCCACAGAAAGAUACCGCCAGAUCAAUUAAAAAUUAAAAAUUAAAAAUCUAAAAUGAGUAAUUUUUAAUUUUACAUUUUUAAUUGAUCUGGUAAGGGUGCAAAGGUGCGGUAAGAGCGCACCAGCAGUAUCGAGAGGUGCUGGCUCGGUAAACCCCGGUUGGGAGCAAGGCGAUAGGAACUACGGUUGGUCUUUUACCAGUUCCGCUCAAUGAGAGCCGCUAGAGGCGUUUGGUAACAAGCGUCCCAGAUAGAUAACUGCCCUCGCAAGAGAACAGAACCCGGCUUAUGUACUGCUCUUUCC
rnacentral:RNase_P_RNA from 2 species